AUGCCCGAGGAACGCCAGGUCCCGGGAGUUUCUUUACCGGACACCAGGAACCUCUUUCCAACCCUGUCUGUUGCAGUAACCCCAGUGCAGGCAGUGGUCUUGCUGUAUUUCCAGGACCAAGCCAGCUGGACCCUAGAGGAGCUGAGCAAGGUGGUGAAGAUGCCUGUGGCACUGCAUGUCAGUGUGGCUGCAGCAGGGUGUGCUGCGGGAGGAGCCUCCAGGCACUUUCUCUGUCAUUGAGGAAGAGCGGCCUCAGGAUAGGGACAACAUGGUACUGAUUGACAGUAAUGAUGAGAGCAACUCGGGCAUGGCCUCCCAGGCUGACCAGAAGGAAGAGGAGCUACUGCUCUUCUGGACAUAUAUCCAGGCCAUGUUGACCAACCUAGAGAGCCUCUCUCUGGAGCGCAUUUACAGCAUGCUGCGAAUGUUUGUAAUGACUGGCCCUGCGCUGGCUGAGAUUGGCCUGCAGGAAUUGACUUGCACUUCUGGUUCUCCCCUGUGUAUGUGUGGCACACUGCACUAUAGCUCCUCCCACUUUGUGCCAUAG